GUCCUGAAGCAGCAAAACAGCCCCAGACCAUCACACUACCACCACCAUAUCUUACUGUUGGUGUCUGCAAGAAGCUAGUGGGUCACUUCUCUCACAGCUGGACGGCCAGAGGUGCUCUUGAAAAAGCCCAGAAGGAACACAGUCUACCAUCACAUUCCCUUGUAUCAGAACGCCAAACACGAUGGGGUUCUAGACAGAUGAUGAUUAGCAGGAUACUAGAGCAGUAGAAGGCUUUAACUCAGAUCCUGUCUGGGACAAGAAGGUGCGGCAUCUAAUUCCAAUCUGGCAAGAUAUAGAUGUCCUGAAAUCUGACAACAAGUAUCUAGGCCCACUGCUGGACUUCACAGAUGCGCUCUUAAGGGAAGACUUUAUUAGUGUCUCAUAUGUGAAGCAAGUUCUUCACCUCUUCAACACUUCAUUGCUGCUAAUGCAAGAGGGAAAUGAAGGCCUGACAGGGCUGAAACGAUUCGAGUAACUCGAUUACUAAAAAUCCUCUUUGUUUAACCCAUAUAAUUACAGACAGCGCACUGUGUUUUGCACGGAUGAUUAUUACUGUUGCACAAUGCAUUUACGUUGUGUGUGAUCAGAGAUGGUUCAGAGCGUCUUUGGUGUGAUUUGACAGCGCGGAUUACAAAAAGGAGGAAGAGUGAAAAUAGUGCAGGGCGCAGAGAAGAGAUAGGCCAGAGAAAGCAACAGAAAGUGCCCACGAAAAUUCUUUACAGUGAACCGAACUAGCCUACCACAAUAGCACAACAUCUAUGCUUCAGCAUCUCAGCAGAAAGCAUCCAGUCUACACAUCCAAUCCACAUAGCGGACCCGACACAAGGUACAUGAAGGCUAGUAAAGAAUGUAGGCUACGUUAAUUAUGGCUAUAUGUAAUAGCUAGUUACAUAAAUCAAUAUGGUGGCUAGUUAUGAUGUCACUAAGUUAGUUAGGUUUUGCUCAAGAAAAUAACCAUCGUGGUUAAUUUGUGAAAGCCUGAGCUUCAUUCAUGUUGUUGUUGUCGUUAUGAUGUUCACAUUUCCUGUUGACUCAAAGAAGACCAUAAAGGCUUACAUUAUGCCUGAGCUGUAGUUAGGCUGAAA